AUUGAACGCUGGCGGCAGGCCUAACACAUGCAAGUCGAGCGAGCGGCGGACGGGUGAGUACUGUCUGGGAAACUGCCUGAUGGAGGGGGCUAACUACUGGAAACGGUAGCUAAUACCGCAUACCAUCAGAUGUGCCCAGAUGGGAUUAGCUAGUAGGUGGGGUAACGGCCAACCUAGGCGACGAUCCGUAGCUGGUCUGAGAGGAUGACCAUCCAACCUGGAACUGUGACACGGUCCAGACUCCUUCGGUAGGCAGCAGUGGGGAAUAUUGCAAAAUGGGCGCAAGGCUGAUGCAGCCAUGCCGCGUGUGUGAAGAAGGCCUUCGGGUUGUAAAGCACUUUCAGCGGGGAGGCGUUACCCGCAGAAGAAGCACCGGCUAACUCCGUGCCAGCAGCGGCGGUAAUAC
rnacentral:rRNA from 1 species